AAAAACAACUUUAACCUCACUCGAGAAAGUAUUGAAUCCUCGUAUUAUUAAUAGUUAGUAAUUAAUAACUAACAUUAAAUAAACAGAAAAAAGAUUAGACUCUUAUGGAAAGAAAAAAAGCGCCGCUUGCACUUCGAUCGCAAGUAGAUACAAUUGAGGAAUGGAAUGCAAUUUUGGGAAGACCGGGUCUUGUAAUUGUUGAUGUUUAUUCAAAUUGGUGUGGACCAUGUAUAGCGAUGGUAAGUACUUUAAGCAAAGUGAAAAUGGAAAUUGGUGGAGACACGCUUAGUUAUGCCGUUGCCAAAAACGACGAAAUCGAUGCUCUGGAACGCUUUCGAGGGAAAAGUGAACCAGUUUGGAUGUUUAUUCAAAAUGGACAAAUGGUAAAUUUAAUUUUCGGUGCAAAUUGUCCUAAACUGAAAAAAGCUUUGAUUGAAGAAAUUCGGAGAGUGAAGCAAGACGAACCUCCUGAAUGGUCACUACCUGUCACACAACGUGGCCCAAAAGAGGAAGAACGAUGGAAAAAGAAAGAAGCAAUUAGGAAUCUACAGAUUUAAACAGGGGCCGCAGGUCAGAGAAAACCUGGAAAUCAAGAAAAAGUCAGGCAUUAUACAAAAAAAAUGGCAAAAGUCACACAAUUUCUAUAAGAAGCAUUUUAAAAAAGAAAUCGAAGAUCGAAAAGAGGCAGAAAAAAAAGUAAAAAAUAAAGCAAUAUACGAACAAUUCAUGGAACAAAUGAUGUUCGAACUCUGUGAAGAAACAGCACUUCUUUUAUAUCC